ACGCCUCGAUCUGAGUUAGUUGCUGCCACACCUCGCCUCGCCGCCGUCGAAUCCUUGCAAUCGAAGAAGCCUCGUUUGAGCACUUUAAUUAAAAUGGUCUUGGCAAGCCUUGUUGAAUCCUUUGGCCUUUGUUGAUUCAAUUUAGUUUAAUUUUGAAUAAAUUUCUUUGCUGAUUCGUUUCAUCCCUUUAAUUAAAUGCAUUAAUUUUCAAUAUAAUGUAAAUAUUUAAUAGGUUUUGGGAUUAGGUUUUAAUUUGAAAAAUUGUUGAAUUUUUAAAUUAUAUUUUAAAUUUUUGCGGAUCCAGAU
rnacentral:lncRNA from 1 species